GGCAGGUAGAAGCAACAAUGCCCAAAAUGAUGUUAACAUUUUCCUUCUUGUUCAUCGUCCUGAUUCCGUGGUACUGGCCUUCACUUUGCAGCCCUCACUAUCAGAAAGAAGUUCUUCUCCAAUUCAAACUCCUUUUACUGGAAAACAUUCCCUCAGACUCUGAGCUUAGGGUCUUAAAUAAUUGGGACGCUUCUACAGACUGUUGUCAGUGGGUUCAAGUCGCUUGCGAUUCCAACACUUCACCACAGGUGACUCAUCUUUAUCUCCACGAAAUCUUUGCUCCUUCUUGUAUUCGUAUAGCGGUUGGUUGCUUUUAUCCUAUAAAAGAUGUAUUGCCGUCUCAUAUUUUAACUCCGCACUUUCAUAUACGAACACUCCAGUUACUUGACAU
rnacentral:misc_RNA from 1 species